rnacentral:rRNA from 1 species
UACGUAGGGACCGAGCGUUGUCCGGAUUCAUUGGGCGUAAAGAGCGUGUAGGCGGUCAGGUAGGUCCGUUGUGAAAACUCGAGGCUCAACCUCGAGACGCCGAUGGAAACCAUCUGACUAGAGUCCGGAAGAGGAGAGUGGAAUUCCUGGUGUAGCGGUGAAAUGCGCAGAUAUCAGGAAGAACACCCGUGGCUAAGGCGGCUCUCUAGUACGGUACUGACGCUGAGACGCGAAAGCGUGGGAGCGAACAGG